UACGGAGGAUGCGAGCGUUAUCCGGAUUUAUUGGGUUUAAAGGGUGCGUAGGCGGGCUGUUAAGUCAGCGGUAAAAUUUGGAGGCUCAACCUCCACGAGCCGUUGAAACUGGCGGUCUUGAGUGCGCGGAAGGCAGGCGGAAUUCGUGGUGUAGCGGUGAAAUGCUUAGAUAUCACGAAGAACCCCGAUUGCGAAGGCAGCCUGCCGCAGCGUUACUGACGCUGAAGCUCGAAAGCGCGGGUAUCGAACAGG
rnacentral:rRNA from 1 species